rnacentral:rRNA from 1 species
CCUACGGGAGGCAGCAGUGAGGAAUAUUGGUCAAUGGGCGCAAGCCUGAACCAGCCAAGUCGCGUGAGGGAAGACGGCCCUACGGGUUGUAAACCUCUUUUGCCGGGGAGCAAGCCUGAGCACGUGUGCCCAGGCGGAGAGUACCCGGAGAAAAAGCAUCGGCUAACUCCGUGCCAGCAGCCGCGGUAAUACGGAGGAUGCGAGCGUUAUCCGGAUUUAUUGGGUUUAAAGGGUGCGCAGGCGGAUUUUUAAGUCAGCGGUCAAAUCGUGGGGCUCAACCCCAUCCAGCCGUUGAAACUGGGGAUCUAGAGUGUGCGAGAGGUAUGCGGAAUGCGUGGUGUAGCGGUGAAAUGCAUAGAUAUCACGCAGAACCCCGAUUGCGAAGGCAGCAUACCGGUGCACAACUGACGCUCAGGCACGAAAGCGUGGGUAUCGAACAGGAUUAGAUACCCCUGUAGUC